rnacentral:tRNA from 1 species
UCCCUGGUGGCUCAGAUGGUAAAGCGUCUGCCUACAAUGCGGGAGAUCCGGGUUCGAUCCCUGGGUCGGGAA